rnacentral:rRNA from 1 species
ACGAACGCUGGCGGCGUGGAUAAGACAUGCAAGUCGAACGAGAGAAUUGCUAGCUUGCUAAUAAUUCUCUAGUGGCGCACGGGUGAGUAACACGUGAGUAACCUGCCCCCGAGAGCGGGAUAGCCCUGGGAAACUGGGAUUAAUACCGCAUAGUAUCGAAAGAUUAAAGCAGCAAUGCGCUUGGGGAUGGGCUCGCGGCCUAUUAGUUAGUUGGUGAGGUAACGGCUCACCAAGGCGAUGACGGGUAGCCGGUCUGAGAGGAUGUCCGGCCACACUGGAACUGAGACACGGUCCAGACACCUACGGGUGGCAGCAGUCGAGAAUCAUUCACAAUGGGGGAAACCCUGAUGGUGCGACGCCGCGUGGGGGAAUGAAGGUCUUCGGAUUGUAAACCCCUGUCAUGUGGGAGCAAAUUAAAAAGAUAGUACCACAAGAGGAAGAGACGGCUAACUCUGUGCCAGCAGCCGCGGUAAUACAGAGGUCUCAAGCGUUGUUCGGAAUCACUGGGCGUAAAGCGUGCGUAGGCUGUUUCGUAAGUCGUGUGUGAAAGGCGCGGGCUCAACCCGCGGACGGCACAUGAUACUGCGAGACUAGAGUAAUGGAGGGGGAACCGGAAUUCUCGGUGUAGCAGUGAAAUGCGUAGAUAUCGAGAGGAACACUCGUGGCGAAGGCGGGUUCCUGGACAUUAACUGACGCUGAGGCACGAAGGCCAGGGGAGCGAAAGGGAUUAGAUACCCCUGUAGUCCUGGCAGUAAACGGUGCACGCUUGGUGUGCGGGGAAUCGACCCCCUGCGUGCCGGAGCUAACGCGUUAAGCGUGCCGCCUGGGGAGUACGGUCGCAAGAUUAAAACUCAAAGAAAUUGACGGGGACCCGCACAAGCGGUGGAGUAUGUGGCUUAAUUCGAUGCACCGCGAAGAACCUUACCUGGGCUUGACAUGUAAUGAACAACAUGUGAAAGCAUGCGACUCUUCGGAGGCGUUACACAGGUGCUGCAUGGCCGUCGUCAGCUCGUGUCGUGAGAUGUUUGGUUAAGUCCAGCAACGAGCGCAACCCCUGUUGCCAGUUACCAGCACGUGAAGGUGGGGACUCUGGCGAGACUGCCCAGAUCAACUGGGAGGAAGGUGGGGACGACGUCAGGUCAGUAUGGCCCUUAUGCCCAGGGCUGCACACGUACUACAAUGCCCAGUACAGAGGGGGCCGAAGCCGCGAGGCGGAGGAAAUCCUAAAAACUGGGCCCAGUUCGGACUGUAGGCUGCAACCCGCCUACACGAAGCCGGAAUCGCUAGUAAUGGCGCAUCAGCUACGGCGCCGUGAAUACGUUCCCGGGUCUUGUACACACCGCCCGUCACAUCAUGGAAGCCGGUCGCACCCGAAGUAUCUGAAGCCAACCGCAAGGAGGCAGGGUCCUAAGGUGAGACUGGUAACUGGGAUG